rnacentral:tRNA from 1 species
CGGGGUGGAGCAGCCUGGUAGCUCGUCGGGCUCAUAACCCGAAGGUCGUCAGUUCAAAUCUGGCCCCCGCAACCA